UACGGGGGGGGCAAGCGUUGUUCGGAAUUACUGGGCGUAAAGGGCGCGUAGGCGGCCUGCUAAGUCGGAUGUGAAAUCCCUCGGCUCAACCGAGGAACUGCAUCCGAUACUGGCGGGCUUGAAUCCGGGAGAGGGAUGUGGAAUUCCAGGUGCAGCGGUGAAAUGCGUAGAUAUCUGGAGGAACACCGGUGGCGAAGGCGGCAUCCUGGACCGGUAUUGACGCUGAGGCGCGAAAGCUAGGGGAGCAAACGGG
rnacentral:rRNA from 1 species